GGGGUUUAGAGGUAAACACUGCUUAAACAAAAAUUGUAAUUUUCUAUGAGAGGUGGUUCUAUCCGAAUUGUGAACUGGGUAUAUGGAAAUAGAUAGAUACAUCGGUUUGACUACGGAACAUGUGUCCACAUACUUCACAUGGGAUGGUUGGGUUAGCUGAAAAACGUAAAAUGAAUUCUGCAGAUGGCGUCUUAAGUCUCUGCGUUCGAAGUAUCGACCACAUUUCUCACACGGUACUCUUACUGGCUGAAAAAACAACAUACAAACACAAUGGAUGAAUACAAUAUUAUUAUACCAGAUUUGUUGAC